GUUAAGUUGCAGGGUAUAGACCCGAAACCCGGUGAUCUAGCCAUGGGCAGGUUGAAGGUUGGGUAACACUAACUGGAGGACCGAACCGACUAAUGUUGAAAAAUUAGCGGAUGACCUGUGGCUGGGGGUGAAAGGCCAAUCAAACCGGGAGAUAGCUGGUUCUCCCCGAAAGCUAUUUAGGUAGCGCCUCGUGAAUUCAUCUCCGGGGGUAGAGCACUGUUUCGGCUAGGGGGCCAUCCCGGCUUACCAACCCGAUGCAAACUGCGAAUACCGGAGAAUGUUAUCACGGGAGACACACGGCGGGUGCUAACGUCCGUCGUGAAGAGGGAAACAACCCAGACCGCCAGCUAAGGUCCCAAAGUCAUGGUUAAGUGGGAAACGAUGUGGGAAGGCCCAGACAGCCAGGAUGUUGGCUUAGAAGCAGCCAUCAUUUAAAGAAAGCGUAAUAGCUCACUGGUCGAGUCGGCCUGCGCGGAAGAUGUAACGGGGCUAAACCAUGCACCGAAGCUGCGGCAGCGACACUGUGUGU
rnacentral:rRNA from 1 species